UACGAAGGGGGCUAGCGUUGUUCGGAUUUACUGGGCGUAAAGCGCACGUAGGCGGAUAUUUAAGUUAGUGGUGAAAUCCCAGGGCUCAACCCUGGAACUGCCUUUAAUACUGGGUAUCUCGAGUCCGAGAGAGGUGAGUGGAAUUCCGAGUGUAGAGGUGAAAUUCGUAGAUAUUCGGAGGAACACCAGUGGCGAAGGCGGCUCACUGGCUCGGUACUGACGCUGAGGUGCGAAAGCGUGGGGAGCAAACAGG
rnacentral:rRNA from 1 species